GCUGGAUGCAGUGGCACGCACCUAUAGUCCCAGCUACUUGGAAGGCUGAGACAGGAGGAUCGCUUAAGUCCAGUUCUGGGCUGUAGUGUGCUAUGCUGGUGUCCACACUAAGCUUACCAUCAAUAUGGUGACCUCCCAGGAGCAGGGGGCCACCAGGUUGCCUAAGGAGGAGUGAACUGGCCCAGGUUGGAAAUGGAGCAGGUCAAAACUCCUGUGCUGAUCAGUACUUUUGCGCCUGUGAAUAGCCACUGCACUCUGGCCUGGGCAACAUAGCAAGACCCUGUCUCUG
rfam:Otolemur garnettii contig091583, whole genome shotgun sequence.